rnacentral:rRNA from 1 species
UACGUAGGGGCUAGCGUUAUCCGGAAUUACUGGGCGUAAAGGGUGCGUAGGUGGUUUCUUAAGUCAGUGGUGAAAGGCUACGGCUCAACCGUAGUAAGCCUUUGAAACUGGGAAACUUGAGUGCAGGAGAGGAGAGUGGAAUUCCUAGUGUAGCGGUGAAAUGCGUAGAUAUUAGGAGGAACACCAGUUGCGAAGGCGGCUCUCUGGACUGUAACUGACACUGAGGCACGAAAGCGUGGGGAGCAAACAGGAUUAGAUACCCCUGUAGUCCCUGAG